rnacentral:rRNA from 1 species
CCUACGGGAGGCAGCAGUGAGGAAUAUUGCACAAUGGGGGAAACCCUGAUGCAGCAACGCCGCGUGGGUGAUGAAGGCCUUCGGGUCGUAAAACCCUUUUCUGGGGGACGAGCAAGGACGGUACCCCAGGAAUAAGUCCCGGCUAACUACGUGCCAGCAGCCGCGGUAAAACGUAGGGGGCGAGCGUUAUCCGGAAUUACUGGGCGUAAAGCGCGUGCAGGCGGCUUGGUAGGUUGGACGUGAAAGCUCCUGGCUAAACUGGGAGAGGCCGUUCAAAACCACCAGGCUUGAGGGCGGAAGAGGGGAGUGAAAUUCCCGGUGUAGUGGUGGAAUGCGUAGAUAUCGGGAGGAACACCUGUGGCGAAGGCGGCUCCCUGGUCCGCACCUGACGCUCAGACGCGAAAGCGUGGGGAGCGAACGGGAUUAGAUCCCCCUGUAGU